rnacentral:rRNA from 1 species
UACGUAGGGUGCAAGCGUUGUCCGGAAUUAUUGGGCGUAAAGAGCUCGUAGGCGGUCUGUCGCGUCUGCUGUGAAAACUCAGGGCUUAACCCUGAGCCUGCAGUGGGUACGGGCAGACUAGAGUGCGGUAGGGGAGACUGGAAUUCCUGGUGUAGCGGUGAAAUGCGCAGAUAUCAGGAGGAACACCGGUGGCGAAGGCGGAUCUCUGGGCCUUACCUGACGCUGAGGCGCGAAAGCUAGGGGAGCAAACAGG